rnacentral:hammerhead_ribozyme from 1 species
AUUCAGCCGAUGAGUCCCAAAUAGGACGAAACGUUCGUCCUGGAU